GAGGCCACUAACUGUGCACUGCAUGAAGACAUAGACCAUAACUGUGGCACCAGCUGACAGAGAGGACCCGCAGGUAUCAAAAGAUACUUGGGAGUCCUUGGUAAUAGUAAGGACCUGCUGGUACCUCUACUGCAUGAUGGUCUAUGCUAUCACUGGACAUGAAAGCUCUGCACUGUAUGACAGCAUCGACCAUCGUGUGGUCCUUAAGUGGUUAAAUAUAUAUUUUUUUAGGGAGACACAACAACAGCCUUUAUUUACAAAACAAAGAAAAGCUGAUUUGAAGACCAGCUGGAGCACUUAGAAAUGUACUGUGUUGUUAAGGCAACUAAUAAUGUUCUAAAAAUAUUUUACAUAAAAGGACAUCACCUCAAGAACUGCUUCAAGUAGUCAUGGAAACUGAAAUAAAAAGCAAUACAUUGACAAGUAGG